CUUCAAGAAGGAGAUGCUGCCUACAUGACCCUGUCAUUGACCUGCUCAAGGUUCAGGGACAUAGUUAGGGAUGACAAGUUUAAGAAUCAGGCACACUUCUUAUGGCUAGAAAGUGUUACAUGCUGGAAAAAUAAGUCGUCUCGCUACAAACAGCUCUUCUGGAAAAUGUACUCAAUCUCCACUUGUUUGGAGUGUGGGUUUGAGUACAAAUGCUGCACACCUGGUUAUGCUGGGAAGGGAAAGCGAGGUGAGCUCCAGGGAAUUUAUUCAGAAACCUUCCACCCUGGAUUUUGCAGUUUUGAAUGCUUGCAGAUCAGUUCUAAUGAGUUCUAAUGAGUUCCUCACAAGUAACCAAAAAUUCAAAAAAAAUAAAACAAAA